rnacentral:tRNA from 1 species
UUCCUGGUGGUCCAGUGGUUAGGACUUCAUGCUUUCAUUGUCAAGGGCUAGGGUUCAAUCCCUGGUCAGGGAA